rnacentral:lncRNA from 1 species
AUCAGAGUGCGGUCCGGUAAAGUAUUGGGGUUCAUUGUAAGCGGAAAAGAGGAAUCGAGGUUGAUCCUGCUUAAAAAAAAUGAAAUGAAAAAAGAAAAGAAAAUAAAAGAUCAAACGGUCAAGUGAAAUAAUGAUUGCCAAGGGGCAUUGAAAAAUAAAAGAAUAAAUUGCAGGAACCUCCGAUUCGGAUGCCUGUGGAGAGACGACCAUUAAUUCUAUACUUGACAGCCCUCGAGGGGUCUAUGG